GCAUACGUGGCCGAGUGGUAAGAAAACACUAAAGGCGAGAGAUUAGAAAUCUCUUGGGAUAUUCCCGCGCAAGUUCGAAUCUUGCCGUAUGCG
rnacentral:tRNA from 1 species